ACUCAAAGGAAUUGACGGGGACCCGCACAAGCGGUGGAGCAUGUGGUUUAAUUCGAAGCAACGCGAAGAACCUUACCAAAUCUUGACAUCCUCUUGACAAAGUAUGUAAUGUACUCUUCCUUCGGGACAAGAGUGACAGGUGGUGCAUGGUUGUCGUCAGCUCGUGUCGUGAGAUGUUGGGUUAAGUCCCGCAACGAGCGCAACCCUUAUCUUUAGUAGCCAGCAUUUCGGAUGGGCACUCUAGAGAGACUGCCCGGGUGAACCGGGAGGAAGGUGGGGAUGACGUCAAAUCAUCAUGCCCCUUAUGAUUUGGGCUACACACGUGCUACAAUGGCGUAAACAAAGGGAAGCAAUCAGGUGACUGUGAGCAAAUCUCAAAAAUAACGUCUCAGUUCGGAUUGUAGUCUGCAACUCGACUACAUGAAGCUGGAAUCGCUAGUAAUCGCGAAUCAGAAUGUCGCGGUGAAUACGUUCCCGGGUCUUGUACACACCGCCCGU
rnacentral:rRNA from 1 species